rnacentral:rRNA from 1 species
CCUUGAUGACGACUGGCGCACGGGUGAGUAACGCGUAUCCAACCUCCCAUAACUACGGGAUAACCCGUUGAAAGACGGCCUAAUACCGUAUGAUAUCGUUUGCUGACAUCAAAUAACGAUUAAAGGUUUAGCGGUUAUGGAUGGGGAUGCGUCUGAUUAGCUUGUUGGCGGGGUAACGGCCCACCAAGGCUACGAUCAGUAGGGGUUCUGAGAGGAAGGUCCCCCACAUUGGAACUGAGACACGGUCCAAACUCCUACGGGAGGCAGCAGCA